rnacentral:rRNA from 1 species
UACGUAGGGUGCGAGCGUUGUCCGGAAUUAUUGGGCGUAAAGAGCUCGUAGGCGGUGUGUCGCGUCGGCCGUGAAAACCUGCAGCUUAACUGUGGGCUUGCGGUCGAUACGGGCAUCACUGGAGUUCGGCAGGGGAGACUGGAAUUCUGGUGAUAGCGGUGAAAUGCGCAGAUAUCAGGAGGAACACCGGUGGCGAAGGCGGGUCUCUGGGC